AAGAGGUGGUUUAGUUAGUGAGCGUGAAAUAAACUGUUUACAUUGAAAAUCAGAACUUCUGCCCUUUUACCUUCUCUCUCUCACUAUAUCCCCUCGGAGAAAUGAAUCCCAUCGCCGAAGAGAAAAUCUGUAGAAAGGUUGAGCGGUGAUGACGAUGGCGGUGUUGAGCAGAGACGACAUAUGUUCUUUCAUAGUGAUUUGGAUGCAUCGUAUCUCCAUACAUGAUGAUAUUCGCUCUUGGAUGCUUCCGCUAAAAUAGUAUUUCUUUGAGUUUAUGUAAUUGUCGAGAUGAUACUCUGAUUUUAUUCACGUUAUUUCUACGAUUUCGAGCCAAGUCCAAUUAUACAGUUGUUUUUCCCCUUCUUCCCCGCUUCUUUAAUCUCCACUAGUUGCGAUCAACCGUUCUUUCUAUCCUUAGAAAGGGCGGGCGUGACACUGUUCUAAUCAAUGCUUUGAAAUCUGUGUUGUGCUUGUGCAUACGCAUGGACCGGGUACCGAAAAAGUGGAAGGAGAUUGAAAAUUUCUUGAUUGUCGUUGAAGAUUUGUUCCGUCACCAGCAGCAACAAUGUUUUAUUUUACUGGCUGAGUAUUUUAGUCGGAGGAGGGCUAGUGAUGAGGGUGAGGAGACAACCAUGGUUACUGUCCAAGAUUCCGGAGUAAAUUCGACAUAUUCGACAUAUGGAUAGGAUCGUUCCUCUAACUAACACGGACUGUGUGAACAACCUCCGAAUGGAUCGUAACUAUUGGGGACGACUGCACUGGAUUCUACGUGAGUGCAUGGGUCUGGUCGAUCAGAAAUAUGUCAGCAUUGAGGAACAAGUGUGUUGAGCCUCAUCGCUCAUCACAAAAAGAAUCGGGUUGUUGGGUUUGAUUUUAUGCGAUCCAGCCAGACUGUUUCGCGAUAUAUUCAUGGGGUGUUUAGAGGGAUGAUUGGACUUCACGAAGUUUUGAUGGCUAAACCCACGCAUGUGGACGACAGAUGUGAUGAUCCCCGUUGGAAUUGGUUCAAGGUAGUCUCAACAACAAUGUUACUGAACAUAUUUGCCACAAAUAAAUGUAUGAACUAAGUGUAAACCCACUUGGCUAUUUCUACUAAGGUUGUCUAGGAGCAUUGGAUGAGACAUAUAUGAACGUCUGUGUGAGUGUUGGGGAUGCACCAUGGUAUAGAACACGAAAGGGCCACACUGCUACGAAUACUUUGGCAAUCUGUGAUCGGUUUCUAUGAUUUGUCUACGUCGUUACAGGGUCGGAGGGAUCAACUGGUGAAUCUCAUGUUCUACGCAAUGCUGUCAUGGGAAGUUGACAGUCUAAGAAUCCCUAAUGGUAAGAGAGCUUUGUUGCAAUGCGGUCACAGUGCUUAAAAAUUGAAGUAAAUGCAAAAUAUGGUCUUGCUAGUCAUGCUGUCAGCCUCUAACAAUUGUUGUGUAUUUCUAUUUUUUUACAUGAAUACUUUAUGAAGUAGCACUUGCAUAUAUUUUGUAUGAACCGAUUUUUGUUAGUAACUAUUAUAUCUCAUCUUUGUAAGUGCAAGAUCUCAUUACUUGUGUGAUAAUGGAUAUGCAAACAUAGAAGGAUUUCUCACACCAUUUAAGGGUGUGCGGUAUCACUUGAAGGAGUGGGACCUGCUGCACAAAAGCCCCAAAAUCCUCUAGAAAUGUUUAACAUGAAGCACACCAUUGCACGGAAUAUCAUCGAACAUGCUUUUUCGCUAUUGAAGAUGAGAUGGGGAAUAUUACGUAGUGCCCGCUUCUACCCGAUCACAACACAGAUGCGCCUAAUAAUGACAUGCUUCAUUCUGCAUAAUUUCAUUGGGAGUCAAAUGCAAGUUGAUCCUGUGGAGCUUCACGACCUUGAUGAUGCAAAUGAGGACAUUUCAGCCGGUGCAGAAAGAGAUGGCGUUCAGUACGUGGAAUAAUGUAUAGCUUGAAAAAUAGUUUAUGACAUUUCCGACUUGUUUAAUUUGUUUUAGCUUCAAACUAUUAGUAUCUGGGCUGCUUAAGUGCUUUAAUUUUAUUAGUUUUAUUAUUGACUUUGAUGAA